rnacentral:rRNA from 1 species
UACGAAGGGGGCUAGCGUUGCUCGGAAUCACUGGGCGUAAAGCGCACGUAGGCGGGUCCUUAAGUCGGGGGUGAAAUCCUGGAGCUCAACUCCAGAACUGCCUUCGAUACUGAGGAUCUCGAGUCCGGGAGAGGUGAGUGGAACUCCGAGUGUAGAGGUGAAAUGCGUAGAUAUCGGGAGGAAUACCAGUGGCGAAGGCGGCCUUCUGGACGGAUACUGACGCUGAGGCGCGAAAGCUAGGGGAGCAAACGGG